rnacentral:rRNA from 1 species
CAGUCGCCACGGGAAUACGAAGGGUGCAAGCGUUACUCGGAAUUACUGGGCGUAAAGCGUGCGUAGGUGGUGGUUUAAGUCCGUUGUGAAAGCCCUGGGCUCAACCUGGGAAUUGCAGUGGAUACUGGGUCACUAGAGUGUGGUAGAGGAUAGUGGAAUUUCCGGUGUAGCAGUGAAAUGCGUAGAGAUCGGAAGGAACAUCUGUGGCGAAGGCGACUAUCUGGGCCAACACUGACACUGAGGCACGAAAGCGUGGGGAGCAAACAGGAUUAGAUACCCGGGUAGUCCCUGUCUCUUAUAU